GCUGGGCGUGGUGGCGCGUACCUGUAAUCCCAGCUACUCGGGAGGCUGAGGCAGGAGAAUCACUUGAACCCAGGAGGCAGAGGUCGCAGUGAGCCCAGAUCGCACCACUGCACUUCAGCCUGGGUAAUAAGAGCGAGACCCUGCCUCAA
rnacentral:SRP_RNA from 1 species